CGUGACAUGCACAUCCUCGACUUUAAAGGAGACGCUUUAUCAGCAAAGCAAAGCACCACAACACAAACUGGACACCACCACUGCCAACAAACAGCUCCCAGCAAGCUUCCCUGGGCGCCGGAGCCCAGUGUCGGGGCUGUCAAGACAGCGCAGGGUCGCGGGGAUGAAGCAGUUUCCCUUUGCCCUGAGCUUUCACCUUGCAGUUCUUUAUAAGCAGAAACAAAGUGUCCAGGAAGCUGUCAUUUUCCCAGUCUAGCCCAGAAGGCAGGUCUUUGACCUGCUUGUUAUGGAAACUCUGUUGCAGGUGAUUCCAUCUAAAAGAACAAACAGCUCCAAGCGGGGCCACAGACUGGGUCCCUUUCUGAAACAUGGAAUUUCUUUAGGGAAAUCUGUUCCAGAUAGAGUGAAGCCACUGUCUUCCAGACACCUAAGGAUUUUUAAGGGACCAGUGGUCAGAGCCAGGCCUGACUGUGCUUUCAGGAACCCGCGGAGGGACUCCUGCCCUGGCCCCAAUCUCCCACCUGCAGACUGGAAACAAAGCCCGUCUAUAUUCCACACCUCGCAGGACACCUGUGAGCCCUCUUCGGAGAGACUUGCUCAGUUUGGGCUCUGAAUGAAGAACACCUCGUCUGAUUAUGUGCAUUAAGGUUCGGUUGGAUUCCCAGAGGUUUAGAAAAGUGACAAGAACCUCCAUCUUCCAAAGGGGGGUGCGGGAUCCCCCUGCAGCUCACACCAAGUGUGUGACCUCCUGCGAGGGCCCAGAAGACCAAAGUGGCAAGAGCAGAGAAGGGUGGACAAGCCGUCAUCCGCAGCCCACAGCGGACGGGAACCUCGUAGGUCCCCAGGGACACAGCCAGUGUGCAGUGGGGGUGGAAGUGUGUCUUCCCAAAAGAGGUGCUGAAAUCCUACCCUGGCUGCAGGGGAAGGGGUGGAGAGGGCUGCCUUUCAGUGACCCCCAGGGUCCCUGCUCACAGAAGUGACACGAUGCUCGAGGACACGAAAGUGCCCUGAGUCCUUCGUUUUAUUUUGUUUUGAGGUGACAGGAGAAAUUAAGGGGCUUGCAAGGGGAUUUCAUUCAGGAGCAAAAAAAAGAAUGAUGUCAUCAAAAGAGUCUGAAAGGAAGAGGGAGGACAAAAUAAACUUCUUCUGGGACUUCA